UUCCACCAAAAAAAUUUAAUAGAUUAUUUUAAAAAAAACCUAGUUUUGAGAAUUUUUGAUUACUACUAAGUAGGUAGCAUUAAGUAAGUGUUAUUAUUAUUAUUAUUCCAUCGCAGUGUUAUCCGCAAUCCGCGGAUAUUUGACGGGCUAUUGUUCGCUAUUAUUCGAUUUUAAAAACAAACUUAUUUCACAGCUGAGUAGAAUUUGAGGAAAGACUGCAAAAUAAGUAAUAAAAAAAAUCAUGGCUACCAUAUUUUCAGAUGCUACUUAAACCAAUACUCAUAUACUUUAUUAUACUGGUUUCAAAGGAAAAAAAAACAUUUUUCUUAUGGGGAACAGAGUUACAUUUGAGACAGUCAGAAAAGACAAGGAGCUUUAAAAUAUCCGAAAAUAUUGUAGCCGACAUUAUUUCAACCGAAAAUAUUUUAGCCGACAUAUUUCAUCCAAACUGAUAUUAUUGAUAUCUUAAUUUUUAAGUGAG